UUAUUUCAUAGUAUUUUAAUUAAUUUUUAGGAAUAUUACAUGGUCAAAGAGAAGAAUUUAUGAAGAAAUUGAGCUAUGAAAGAGUUUGAAGAAUAAAGACUAAGGGAAGAAAAACUUAGAAAAAUACUCAAUAUAUUGAGCUGAUUUUCGCCCAACUCUCUGCUUUUCUCGCGUCCCCACAAGAAUUUCAUAGUGAUGCGAUUUGCCACUUUCCUGCCCACUUGAAUUAUGCUGCACAUGCACAUCUCAAGCUGACACGUCAUAUAAAAAAGGAAGAUUGAUUGAAUUGCUCUAGUGGGACCCGCCAGUCAAACAAGUGAUGGUUUGUUUUGCUAGUGGUACGAUUUGUCUCUCCGGGAGCAUAUAAAUAGGGGAUUAUUUUAUUAACCUAAAGGAGAUCACGCAGACGGAGAGAAGAAAAAAAGCAGUCACGCACGCAGACGAGGCUUCACCUUUGAAUAGCAGUUUCUUUGUGUUGGCUUUGUACACAUUCAACUACAAUUUUAUGUGUAAUUCUUUAUUCUCUAUUAUCUCUAAUUGAUAUUAUGAAUAGCUAAUUUCUCAAUUGUUAGGGAUGAGUAAACCUAGAUGACUAUUCUUAUUUUAUGAUUUGAUUUAUGACUAUUGAAGAAUUCUAUUGAUUAUUUUUCUUAUAUAUGUGCUUAACGCUUUUAUCGAUUGAUCACCGUUAAAUUGAUUUACGAUUCAUAUUGUGAUACGGGAGUUGAAUUUAUGAAUGCUUUGAUAUAAGAAAUUCUUGCCUUUGUAAUUUAGGUAUAAAUGCAAACCCUUGAAACCAAUUUAGAAUUCUUGUUCAUUCAUGCUUAGUUCUAAUCUUAAAUUCACUAAGGAAUUAGGAAUUAUUUUAGAAUUAACGACUCUGUCACUAAGGAAUUAGGGCACGAAUACUUUAGGGAAUUCGGUAAUAAUUUCAUAAAUACCUUCAAUAGUCAUAAUCAAGUC
rnacentral:lncRNA from 1 species